GAGUUUGAUCCUGGCUCAGAACGAACGCUGGCGGCAUGCCUAACACAUGCAAGUCGAACGAGACCGCUGACUUCGGUUGGCGCGUCUAGUGGCGCACGGGUGCGUAACGCGUGGGAAUCUGCCCUUGGGUUCGGGAUAACAGUUGGAAACGACUGCUAAUACCGGAUGAUGACUUCGGUCCAAAGAUUUAUCGCCCAGGGAUGAGCCCGCGUCGGAUUAGCUAGUUGGUAGGGUAAAAGCCUACCAAGGCGACGAUCCGUAGCUGGUCUGAGAGGAUGAUCAGCCACACUGGGACUGAGACACGGCCCAGACUCCUACGGGAGGCAGCAGUGGGGAAUAUUGGACAAUGGGCGAAAGCCUGAUCCAGCAAUGCCGCGUGAGUGAUGAAGGCCUUAGGGUUGUAAAGCUCUUUUACCCGGGAUGAUAAUGACAGUACCGGGAGAAUAAGCCCCGGCUAACUCCGUGCCAGCAGCCGCUGUAAG
rnacentral:rRNA from 1 species